UUUCCGUAGGUGAACCUGCGGAAGGAUCAUUACAGAGUUUUCACAACUCCCAACCCUUGCGAACCGUACCCAUUCUGUUCUCGUUGCUUCCGGCGGGGUGGCCGGGGGGGCCCGCAGCGGCCUCCCCCCCCCGCCCGCCGGGGCCGGCGCGCCCUACGAAACUUCAUAUCUCAACCGCCAGAAACCGUCUGAGAAAACAAACAAAAUAAUCUAAACUUUCAACAACGGAUCUCUUGGCUCUG
rnacentral:misc_RNA from 1 species